AAGCAGCGAUUUUCCCCUCGUUCUAGGUUCCACCUUCUCCUCCCGGAGGGAAACCCUGUCUAUCCGAUCUAGUUUUCUUUCGCCCGUGUGGCGGCGGCGGUAGAUCGGAGGCAACGAAGCGCGACGACGGCUACAGGAGCAGCUGCUCUCUCCUCCAACUCCCGUAGGUUUCUUGAGGGCGCCCCGCUGUGGAAGCUGCCUGUGGCGUCGGGGCCCUCCAUGGCGCGCAGCGGCGGACCCAGCCUGCGCCGCGGCCGGACCAGCCUGGUCGCGCGGUGGUGGCACAGCUUGUGGACUGAAAUCUCACUUUGUGGUGCCACUCGUCCAUACACUUGUCAAUUCCAUCGGAGAAAAUGAUGGUGAGGAUGAGUCUUGGUGAUGUGGGUACUGGCUAUGGCUUCCUUUUGCGGAACCUCAGAUUGACAUGGAGCACAGACCAUAGAAGCAGGCCGGAGUUCUGCUGGAGGACCGUCAAGCUCGACCAGCAACCUGGGUUAACAUGUGUUGAUUUGUAAGUCAUCUUUCAAGAAGUUGAUAUGGACAAAGGAGGAUUAUACCAACUCUAGUUGCCUUCAAGAAGUCACGAGAAGAGGCAUCCAACAAAGGUUUCGAGUUUUGAGGAAGGCGGUAGCUAAGAGUCACACCCACACAGUCUCUAUUGAUGACCUCUAAAAAAAAUUGUUUUAUUGGAUGACUAUGUAGCUUCGGUUAUUUUGGAUGGAGCAUGUAAGUGUAAUGUGUACUAUGCACGCUGUAUAGAGACUAGUUGGC